rnacentral:sRNA from 1 species
GUUGCUGGGAGCUAGCGGGCACAGUGGAUUUCCUGUUUGGGAUCUGGACUCCCAGUAUAUGGACCCAGGCAUUAGUUAGAUUGGUUCGACUGGAGCCUGCAUUUCAAGUGGGAGCAGAUCCCUCUUGAGCAGAAGAUGACCCGGACAGACCCCACCAGGCCCAUAAGCUCACGUGUUGCGUCUUCCCUCUCCUUGCUCCCAGGACGCCUGUCAUAGCUGGAGGAAUCUUCGUGAUCGACAAGUCCUGGUUUAACCACUUGGGAAAAGCACUUUCUAUGCGUGAGGACCUGCUCUAAGGACUUUACACACAUGAGGUCAUUUAAUUCUCUCAAGGACCCUCUGAGAGCUCUCCUUCAGGGUGUGGAUGUGUGGUGGCAGUCUGGAGAUCGUCCCCUGCAGCCGGGUGGGUCAUGUCUUCAGGAAACGGCACCCCUACAACUUCCCUGAGGGUAAUGCCCUCACCUACAUCAGGAAUACUAAGCGCACUGCAGAAGUGUGGAUGGAUGAAUACAAGCAAUACUACUAUGAGGCCCGGCCCUCGGCCAUCGGGAAGGCCUUCGGCAGGUGG